GACGAACGCUGGCGGCGUGCUUAAUACAUGCAAGUCGAACGGAAAGGCCCUGCUUUUGUGGGGUGCUCGAGUGGCGAACGGGUGAGUAACACGUGAGUAACCUGCCCUUGACUUUGGGAUAACUUCAGGAAACUGGGGCUAAUACCGGAUAGGAGCUCCUGCUGCAUGGUGGGGGUUGGAAAGUUUCGGCGGUUGGGGAUGGACUCGCGGGUUAUCAGCUUGUUGGUGGGGUAGUGGCUUACGAAGCCUUUGACGGGUAGCCCGCCUGAGAGCGGGGACGGCGACCAUGCUACUACGGGACGGAGCAGUAUCCUACGGGAGGCAGCAGUCGGGAGUAUUGCGGAAUGGGCGGACGCCUGAGGCAGCGGCGCCGCGUGCGUGAUACCGGCCUUCGGGGUGUGAACCGCUUUGGCCGGUGACAAAGCGGGAUUGACGGUAAUGGGUAAAGAAGCACCGGCUAACUACGUG
rnacentral:rRNA from 1 species